GUUCCACGUUUGCUCUUGCGAUUCGAAAAUCCUUUCUCCCAGCUCUAGGGGCGGGGUUAGGUAGUCGCCCUCAGAGGCGAGCCGCGGUGGCCUGGGGCGAAGGAGACAGGACGCCCUGGGCUCACAGGGCGCCGCGCGCAGCCCUUUUGGGCUCUGUCCGAGGUGCUGAACGCCGCGGACUCCGGGCGCGCGGGCAGUGCGUGAGGGCGUCCACUGUUGUCAGUGUCUGUGAGCAUCUUCGUGGAGAAGGCAGAGCACGGGGGUCAGGUGAAACCAGGACGAGCACAGGCUCCAGACGCGCAGGCUCAGCAGCCAUGGCUCACGGGCCCAGCCGCUCCGCGGCAUAUGGGAUCCUCCCGGACCGGGGCACAAACUGUCAACCACUGCGCCACCAGGCAUGUGGGAUCUUAGCUCCUUGACCAGGGAUAGAACAUGCACUCCCUUCACUGGAAGAUGAAGUCUUAACCACUGUACCGUCAGGGCCUGGUGCUGGGUGCUGGGGUACAAGGUGAAAAGACACACAGUCCCGGCCCUCAAGGAGUAAAGACAAGGCAGGGAUCCAGGGGCCCACCUGGAUGAGUGGACAGAUUUGACAAAAGAUGGUGGAAGGAAGGGCAUUUAGGGGGCCAGACUUGUCCUGGAACACACUUCUCACCUGGCCACCUACCUGAGCUUAACGUAGCCUUUGGGACUCACCUGGUAAAUUCACCUUUGGGUUUUUGGAGUUUUUUUACCUUUGUUUUAAUCCAAGUUUUAAAAUUUGUUUGCAUAGAGUUAUACAGACAAUUCUGUAAUCAUUCUCUUACUUUAGCUUUUAUAGAUCCAUUUUUGUAUAUAACUCUUGGAUCCAUAUGGAAUUUCUUUGCAUGUGAAGAAUAAGGUAAUGUUACAGGGGAGAACAAAAUCUGGCUACCUGUUAGAUCUGUUUCUUUUACUCCCGUUGCUUUUGUUCACUAAAAGGAUACUGUUUAUACAUAAUGGCCUGCCUUGGGGAGCCCUGCCCCUCUGCCUGAAUGUUAAACCAAAGGGCCUUUGUUCAGGGGAACAUCCGGACCCUGUCCACCUAUGGAUGGCUGCAAGAAAGAAGAAAUUAACACAUCCUCUCCCAGAGGCUGGCCAUUCCAGGAGAUAUUUGCAAGACUUAUGGUCUUUUUACUCUACUUCCUCACCUUCUCCCCGUCUCUGUUUUAUAAAAGAAACUGACAUCCAGGCCCUGAUAAGACGGUUAUUUAGAGACAUUAGUCUGCCGUCUUCUCGGUCUUCCGGCUUUCCGAAUAAAGUCGUAUUCCUUUGCCUCAACACCUUGUCUCCGAUUCAUUGGCCUGUCACACGGUGAGCA